rnacentral:misc_RNA from 1 species
UGAAAAGAAAAGAAAAAAAAAAAAGGUUUCUCUUCACGGCUCCGUCUACGUAGAAAGAGCCUGAAAAACCAUGUGCACUCUGUGUAAGUGAGAAGGAGAUCUACUUGUGUGAUAUAAACACAGAGAAAAAUAUUGAAAUCUCAGUGUAAAACAAGAUCAAACAUGUGAUGUGAUGAUCCACAAAACAAGUUUUUUUUUUUUAUGUAUACAAAAAACAAGAAUUUAUGGAAGAAAGUGUAUGUUGAAAUAGCAGAAAAAAACUAGGGUGGCU